UGUUUCUGUUGAUGUGGGUGUUGUCGUAAUAGUUGUAGGUGUUGUUUCUGUUGAUGUAGGUGUUGUUGUUACAGUUGUAGGUGUUGUUUCUGUUGAUGUGGGUGUUGUCGUAAUAGUUGUAGGUGUUGUUUCUGUUGAUGUAGGUGUUGUUACUGUAACAGUUGUAGGUGUUGUUUCUGUUGAUGUGGGUGUUGUCGUAAUAGUUGUAGGUGUUGUUUCUGUUGAUGUGGAUGUUGUAAUGGUAGUAGUUGUUUCACAGUCGAUGUUGCCUUCACAACAUUUUACACGGAUUUCAUAA